UACGUAGGGUGCGAGCGUUGCCCGGAUUUAUUGGGCGUAAAGGGCGCGUAGGCGGCUCUGCACGUCCGUUGUGAAAUCGCCCGGCUCAACUGGGCGGGGUCAGCGGAUACGGCGGAGCUUGAGCAAGCUAGGGGGCAAUGGAAUUCCCGGUGUAGUGGUGGAAUGCGUAGAUAUCAGGAGGAACACCGGUGGCGAAGGCGACACCCUGGACUCAUACUGACACUGAGGUGCGAAAGCGUGGGGAGCAAACAGG
rnacentral:rRNA from 1 species